AUUGAACGCUGGCGGCAUGCCUUACACAUGCAAGUCGAACGGUAACAGGUUAAGCUGACGAGUGGCGAACGGGUGAGUAAUAUAUCGGAACGUGCCCAGUCGUGGGGGAUAACGUAGCGAAAGCUACGCUAAUACCGCAUACGAUCUACGGAUGAAAGCGGGGGAUCGCAAGAACUCGCGCGAUUGGAGCGGCCGAAAUCAGAUUAGGUUGUUGGUGAGGUAAAAGCUCACCAAGCCUGCGAUCUGUAGCUGGUCUGAGAGGACGACCAGCCACACUGGAACUGAGACACGGCCCAGACUCCUACGGGAGGCAGCAGUGGGGAAUUUUGGACAAUGGACGCAAGUCUGAUCCAGCAAUGCCGCGUGCAGGACGAAGGCCUUCGGGUUGUAAACUGCUUUUGUACGGAACGAAACGGUGAGCUCUAAUACAGUUUGCUAAUGACGGUACCGUAAGAAUAAGCACCGGCUAACUACGUGCCAGCAGCCGCCGUAA
rnacentral:rRNA from 1 species